rnacentral:rRNA from 1 species
UACGAAGGGUGCUAGCGUUGCUCGGAAUCACUGGGCGUAAAGGGUGCGUAGGCGGGUCUUUAAGUCAGGGGUGAAAUCCUGGAGCUCAACUCCAGAACUGCCUUUGAUACUGAGGAUCUUGAGUACGGGAGAGGUGAGUGGAACUGCGAGUGUAGAGGUGAAAUUCGUAGAUAUUGGGAAGAACACCGGUGGCGAAGGCGGCGCUCUGGACCGAGACUGACGCUGAGGCGCGAAAGCGUGGGGAGCAAACAGG